ACACCUCUGCCUUCCAAAGUGCUGGGAUUACAGGCUUGAGCCACUACGCCCAGCCUCAGUGUUUAAAAUUUCUAUGAAUAUUUUUAUACUUUUCCUACAUAUUUUUGAUCUAUAAACAAUAUAUAGUUGUACUUCAAAUGUUUUAAAAUUUUAUAGAAGUAACAUAUAUACCUCUUUUUUCUUGAGAUGGGGUCUCCCUGUGUUUCCCAGGCUGGUCUCAAACUCCUCAGUUCAAGGGAUCCUCCCUCCUCAGCGCCCCCAACAGUGCUGAUAUUACAGGCAUGAGCCACCAUGCCCUGCCUACAUGCUUUUUUCUGUUUGUGGUUGUUCUCUUUUUUUUUUUUUUUUUGGUCACUUAACAUCAUGUUUCUGAGAAUUAAUCAUGUUGAAAGAUGGUAAAUUUAGUUUUUCACAGACGUCAUAUUAGUUCAUUCAUUUUUUCUGUAUUUUUUUAUUGUAGGGACUAUCCUAUAUACAUUUAUUGAUUACUAUAUGAUGGAGAUUGAGGUUGUUUCCAGAUUUUUACUAUUAUAGAUAAUAUUAUUAUUGGUGGAGGUCUAUUCCAAUGGGGCUUUUCCUGUAGCUGCAUGUUGUUGGAAACUCCUCAUAGACUAACUCUGUGGUUUUGCUUUACUCACAGGACUAUUAGUUAGGUCUGUGGGAAGGAACUACAAGACAGUUGCUAAAAUUAUGAAAGACCUAAUAAUGUAUCUUUUACUGUAGAUAUUGGCAUAUUCCACAGAUCUGUACUAUUAUUCUUGAGUGUGAUAGCUUAGAAAUGAGUAUGAUUGAACACAUGUUUAGAGAGGGUGUCAAAUUGAGAACCAGGAAGAUCCACCUACUCUAAAAAUUACCCUAAAGUAAAUUGGUUGUAGAAAUUAGAUCCCAAAGAUUAUUGAUUUUUUCCAUAGGUGAAUUUUGAAGCCUCCGUGAAUAUAUCCAUAUUAAAAGGAGAUGAAAGAAGCCAAAAUAAAGAAUUAUGGUAUGACGGGAUAACUGAAUUAAGCAUCACUUCUAUUAAAAAGGGCUAAUUUGAAGAUAAAUCUAUUGAAGAUAACUUUUGACUCCAACUCUUUAGAGGAACUUUAGUUCCUUGAUGGACAGUGGAAGGAACCUCAACAUGAAAUUUCUUGAAUGAAAAUUUAUUGACUUAAUAAUAAUAAUACUAUGAACCUUAUGGCAGACAUGGAGAGGCAUAGCCCAGAUCUUCUUUCAAGGAAAGGCUUGUUGCCUCAACUGCUGAGAGUGCUGUCAGUGUACAACGUUCAUCCAGCUUUCAGUCCCUUUAGAGAAUCAUUUCAGUUUCACCCAAGGUUGACCCUUCCAAGGACAACCCACAUCCCAUGACUGGGCGAAUGCAUAGACACCUAGCCCACUGUAGGAGCAACCUAGCUCCAUAGCUCCCCAUGGAGUCAGGGCUAUUGGGCCCCCAUCACAGCAUGAUGUCUUCAUCUUCCCUCUCCACUCCCUCCUAUUCUUUUCAACAAAGGGCACACCCUAGUAAACAACCAGUGCGUUAAAUUCCGUCAACAUUAACAGAUUAAUGAAGAAAAAUGUGAUUAUCUCAAUAAAUGCUACAAGUUACUCUGUGGGAGAGAGAGGCCAUAUGGAGGAGCACGGAAGCACCAGACACAUGAGUGGAGAAGCCAUAUUGGAUGUCCAGCCUGGUCAAGCCCCAAGUGAGAACCACCCAAGCAAGCCCAGAACCACCAACCAAGCCCUACAGAGACAAGAGAAACAAUAAUAAAUCAUUG
rnacentral:lncRNA from 10 species